rnacentral:rRNA from 1 species
AGAUUGAACGCUGGCGGAAUGCUUUACACAUGCAAGCCGAACGGCAGCACGGGGGCAACCCUGGUGGCGAGUGGCGCACGGGUGAGUAAUACAUCGGAACGUAUCCUAGAGUGGGGGAUAGCCCGGCGAAAAGCCGGAUUAAUACCGCAUACGCUCGAAAGAGGAAAGUGGGGGAUCGUAAGACCUCACGCCCAAGGAGCGGCCGAUGCCGGAUUAGCUUGUUGGUGAGGUAAAAGCUCACCAAGGCGACGAUCCGUAGCUGGUCUGAGAGGACGACCAGCCACACUGGGACUGAGACACGGCCCAGACUCCUACGGGAGGCAGCAGUGGGAAUUUGGACAAGUGGGGGAAACCCUGAUCAGCCAUCCGCGUGAGUGAAGAGGCC